rnacentral:rRNA from 1 species
CCUACGGGGGGCAGCAGUAAGGAAUAUUGGUCAAUGGACGCAAGUCUGAACCAGCCAUGCCGCGUGGAGGAUGAAGGUCCUCUGGAUUGUAAACUUCUUUUAUAUGGGAAGAAACCCCCGAUUUCUAUGGUGUUGACGGUACCAGAUGAAUAAGCACCGGCUAACUCCGUGCCAGCAGCCGCGGUAAUACGGAGGGUGCAAGCGUUAUCCGGAUUUACUGGGUUUAAAGGGUGUGUAGGUGGACAGGUAAGUCAGAGGUGAAAUCUCCGGGCUCAACCCGGAAACUGCCUUUGAUACUAUUUGUCUUGAAUUUCGUUGAGGUUGGCGGAAUAUAUCAUGUAGCGGUGAAAUGCAUAGAUAUGAUAUAGAACACCAAUUGCGUAGGCAGCUGACUGGACGUACAUUGACGCUGAGGCACGAAAGCGUGGGGAGCGAACAGGAUUAGAAACCCGAGUAGUCC